rnacentral:lncRNA from 1 species
AUACUAAGAUAUGUUUUAUUUCUGUUCUUUCAGAACCUACAGCAUCCGCCAAGGCCUCCUAAACCAAUUCCUAAGGAGCUUCUACCUCUUCCUCCAAUUCCUGGGAUAUCAAAAACAGAGAAGGAAACGCACAUACCACUGAAACCUCUGUAAGUAAUCAAUGAUCCAGAUAAUAACUGAAGACUUUCAAGACAACAUACUGUAAUUACUUA